CUGUAACCAUGCUACUCUGGAUGUGUCUAAUUUUGUCUAAGCUUGUAAGCUAAGUAGAGUCAGGCCUGGUUAGUAUUUGGAUAGGAUAAAGUCAUAUUGGUUAUCUUUCAGU
rnacentral:rRNA from 1 species